CAGCCGCCGCGGGAAUACGUAGGGUGCGAGCGUUAAUCGGAAUUACUGGGCGUAAAGCGUGCGCAGGCGGUUCGUUAAGACAGAUGUGAAAUCCCCGGGCUUAACCUGGGAACUGCAUUUGUGACUGGCGAGCUAGAGUAUGGCAGAGGGGGGUAGAAUUCCACGUGUAGCAGUGAAAUGCGUAGAGAUGUGGAGGAAUACCGAUGGCGAAGGCAGCCCCCUGGGCCAAUACUGACGCUCAUGCACGAAAGCGUGGGGAGCAAACAGGAUUAGAGACCCCAGUAGUCCCUGUCUCUUAUAC
rnacentral:rRNA from 1 species